AGAGUUUGAUCCUGGCUCAGAACGAACGCUGGCGGCAGGCUUAACACAUGCAAGUCGAACGCACCUUCGGGUGAGUGGCAGACGGGUGAGUAACGCGUGGGAACGUGCCCUUCAGUUCGGAAUAACCCAGGGAAACUUGGGCUAAUACCGGAUACGUGCGAGAGCAGAAAGAUUUAUCGUUGAAGGAUCGGCCCGCGUCUGAUUAGCUAGUUGGUGGGGUAAUGGCCCACCAAGGCGACGAUCAGUAGCUGGUCUGAGAGGAUGAUCAGCCACAUUGGGACUGAGACACGGCCCAAACUCCUACGGGAGGCAGCAGUGGGGAAUAUUGGACAAUGGGCGCAAGCCUGAUCCAGCCAUGCCGCGUGAGUGAUGAAGGCCUUAGGGUUGUAAAGCUCUUUCGGCGGGGACGAUAAUGACGGUACCCGCAGAAGAAGCCCCGGCUAACUUCGUGCCAGCAGCCGCGGUAAUACGAAGGGGGCUAGCGUUGUUCGGAAUCACUGGGCGUAAAGGGCGCGUAGGCGGCUUGAUAAGUCGGGGGUGAAAGCCUGUGGCUCAACCACAGAAUUGCCUUCGAUACUGUCUGGCUUGAGACCGGAAGAGGUAAGUGGAACUGCGAGUGUAGAGGUGAAAUUCGUAGAUAUUCGCAAGAACACCAGUGGCGAAGGCGGCUUACUGGUCCGGUUCUGACGCUGAGGCGCGAAAGCGUGGGGAGCAAACAGGAUUAGAUACCCCCGUAGUCC
rnacentral:rRNA from 2 species